rnacentral:rRNA from 1 species
UACGAGGGGUGCAAGCGUUGCUCGGAAUUAUUGGGCGUAAAGAGCUUGUAGGCGGUUUGUCGCGUCUGCCGUGAAAAUUCGAGGCUCAACCUCGAACUUGCGGUGGGUACGGGGCAGACUAGAGUGUGGUAGGGGAGACUGGAAUUCCUGGUGUAGCGGUGAAAUGCGCAGAUAUCAGGAGGAACACCGAUGGCGAAGGCAGGUCUCUGGGCCACUACUGACGCUGAGAAGCGAAAGCAUGGGGAGCGAACAGG